rnacentral:rRNA from 1 species
GCGCGCAGGCGGUUUCUUAAGUCUGAUGUGAAAUCUUGCGGCUCAACCGCAAGCGGCCAUUGGAAACUGGGAGACUUGAGUGCAGAAGAGGAGAGUGGAAUUCCACGUGUAGCGGUGAAAUGCAUAGAGAUGUGGAGGAACACCAGUGGCGAAGGCGACUCUCUGGUCUGUAACUGACGCUGAGGCGCGAAAGCGUGGGGAGCGAACAGGAUUAGAUACCCUGGUAGUCCACGCCGUAAACGAUGAGUGCUAAGUGUUAGAGGGUUUCCGCCCUUUAGUGCUGCAGCUAACGCAUUAAGCACUCCGCCUGGGGAGUACGGCCGCAAGGCUGAAACUCAAAGGAAUUGACGGGGGCCCGCACAAGCGGUGGAGCAUGUGGUUUAAUUCGAAGCAACGCGAAGAACCUUACCAGGUCUUGACAUCCUCUUGACCUCCCUAGAGAUAGGGAUUUCCCUUCGGGGACAGGAGUGACAGGUGGUGCAUGGUUGUCGUCAGCUCGUGUCGUGAGAUGUUGGGUUAAGUCCCGCAACGAGCGCAACCCUUGACCUUAGUUGCCAGCAUUUAGUUGGGCACUCUAAGGUGACUGCCGGUGACAAACCGGAGGAAGGUGGGGAUGACGUCAAAUCAUCAUGCCCCUUAUGACCUGGGCUACACACGUGCUACAAUGGAUGGUACAAAGGGCUGCAAGACCGCGAGGUUUAGCCAAUCCCAUAAAACCAUUCUCAGUUCGGAUUGUAGGCUGCAACUCGCCUACAUGAAGCCGGAAUCG